UGGGGAAUAUUGCGCAAUGGGCGAAAGCCUGACGCAGCAACGCCGCGUGAAGGAUGAAGUAUUUCGGUAUGUAAACUUCGAAAGAAUAGGAAGAAUAAAUGACGGUACUAUUUAUAAGGUCCGGCUAACUACGUGCCAGCAGCCGCGGUAAUACGUAGGGACCAAGCGUUGUUCGGAUUUACUGGGCGUAAAGGGCGCGUAGGCGGCAUGACAAGUCACUUGUGAAAUCUCUGGGCUUAACCCAGAACGGCCAAGUGAUACUGUCGCGCUAGAGUGCAGAAGGGGCAAUCGGAAUUCUUGGUGUAGCGGUGAAAUGCGUAGAUAUCAAGAGGAACACCUGAGGUGAAGACGGGUUGCUGGGCUGACACUGACGCUGAGGCGCGAAAGCCAGGGGAGCAAACGGGAUUAGAUACCCCAGUAGUCCCUGAGCGGGCUGGCAAGGCGCAU
rnacentral:rRNA from 1 species